rnacentral:rRNA from 1 species
UACAGAGGGUGCGAGCGUUAAUCGGAAUUACUGGGCGUAAAGCGUGCGUAGACGGUUAUUUAAGUCGGGUGUGAAAGCCCCGGGCUCAACCUGGGAAUUGCAUUCGAGACUGAAUAGCUAGGGUACGGUAGAGGGAAGCGGAAUUUCCGGUGUAGCGGUGAAAUGCGUAGAUAUCGGGAGGAACACCGGUGGCGAAGGCGGCUCUCUGGACCACUACUGACGCUGAGGCGCGAAAGCUAGGGGAGCAAACAGG